UUGUAAUAAAUUCAGUUAGAGAAAGUUGUUUUGUUUGUCAUAACCGCAACGAAGGAGCAAUGGAGCAUGGGUUCAAUUGGAUGUCUCACUCUACUUGACUUGUAAGAGUGACGUAUGAUGACCCAAAAUAUAUUACAUAAAAUAUUACACAACGAGAUAUUGUAUAUACAUAUACGGCCAGAACAAAAAAAAAUAAAAAAAGUUUCUCCAUGAGGUGUUUCACUUUAGAAGUUUUUUAAUAACUAUAAUAUCGUAAGUAACUGCCAUUAUCUUUUUUUCAACUAUAGAAAAUAUAUAUUGGAUUCAAUACUUAUACUGUAUAAGUUAUACAUCAU
rnacentral:lncRNA from 1 species